GCAAGUCGAGCGAGAAGAUUUUGAUUGAUCCUUCGGGUGAGAGAUAAAUUGGAAAGCGGCGGACGGGUGAGUAACGCGUGGGCAACCUGCCCUAUACAAAGGGAUAGCCACUGGAAACGGUGAUUAAUACCUUAUAAUAUCAUUGUAUCGCAUGAUACGAUGGUCAAAGAUUUAUCGGUAUGGGAUGGACCCGCGUCUGAUUAGCUAGUUGGUAAGGUAAUGGCUUACCAAGGCGACGAUCAGUAGCCGACCUGAGAGGGUGAUC
rnacentral:rRNA from 1 species